rnacentral:rRNA from 1 species
CAACUCUCAACAACGGAUAUCUUGGCUCCCGUAACGAUGAAGAACGCAGCGAAGUGCGAUAAGUAGUGUGAAUUGCAGAUUUCCGUGAACCAUCGAGUUUUUGAGCGCAAAUUGCGCUCGAGGCCUCCGGGUCGAGAGCAUGUCUGCCUCAGCGUC